GAGGUGCAAUAAAGUCAACGUACUUCGUUCGAGCUGUGGGAGCACAAAUUGAUGUAAUGCAGACUUAAGUGCGCCUGAAAUUGUUAUUUUGCCGAGCAGAGCUAAUUACGUGUUCCCAAAUGAACACAAGUGUUUCCGACGCUUGCAGUUCAUAGCACAGACGCUAUAUUUAGCGCGUGGAGUACUCGAAGCCUGCGGUAAGAUUCUUGUGCAGUGUAUGAAUUAAAUAGUAGGAGAAACGAGAGGUAAGAUUCAGUCUGUGGAGCAGUAGUUUCAAUAGAGUUCCACAGGUAGCUUGUUUAUCGAAAUGAGCUCUAACGAACUUCUAAUGAGUACUUGGAUCGACAAGAUGCUGCUCCGGAGGUAAUUGUUGUACUAGCACAGGUGUAGCAGACAAGAUCCAAGAAAUGGCAAAUUCGCCCAAAGAACUGAAAUCAUAAAUGUUGAGGGGGAAUGUGGUAUAGGGGAAUGGCAAUGCAGUGCAGGUAGUGAAAAAGGCUUGGGCAGAGGCUGGGAGUUCUGUUCACAGUUGACUCUGUUUAG